UCUAAUAAUGAAUAAUGAUAUAUUUUAGCUAUGUUUGUCUUGAGAAAGCCUCCGUAUCAAUCUGAGGCAGAUGGGAUUCUAGGAUGUCUAUCUGUCUGUCUAUCAAUCAAUCAAAGAAGCUCAACUGAAGAGCGAGGAAUUGAUUUGUCAGAUACGACCGUACCUUGAAAACCCAACAUUUCAGAAUUUGUACUGCAUCUUGGAAGAAAAGGAGCCCAUUUUGAGAAAACCUUUCAGGAGAUGCUAAAUUUGGCAGAGCCAACAUCCUCCCCCAGUUUUGGGUGGCGUGAUUUGUGAACCGCAGCUGUGAACAAUUGCGAUCGUCGUUUAUGCAUGCGAAAGAAGCCAACUGCGGCAUGGUGUCAGCCAGGAUAUAAUUGCCGAAGGGAGAAUGCAAUCAUGCCUGAUAAAGAUGAUUAGAAGACUCAACCUCAUCAUAACCAACGAGCCUCUCAAAUAAUAAAAUGACCGCUUAGUUAAGUGACUUGGAGAGAUCGGUGUUAAUCAACGGAGCGGCCGUUUUCAUUCUCAUCCUGCUGCAGAGCAACGAGGAAAAAGAGCGAAAAGGAAAGGAAAGGUGGAGAACCAACAUAGGAUACUUACAGCAGAAGAAGUCCCAUCAAAAGCACCACCAUGAACCAGGUCUCCAUGGAUAAGGUAGGAAGAAGA